UACGUAGGGUGCAAGCGUUAAUCGGAAUUACUGGGCGUAAAGCGUGCGCAGGCGGCUUUGCAAGACAGAUGUGAAAUCCCUCGGCUUAACCGGGGAACUGCGUCCGAUACUGGUUGGCUUGAGUUUGGGAGAGGGAUGCGGAAUUCCAGGUGUAGCGGUGAAAUGCGUAGAUAUCUGGAGGAACACCGGUGGCGAAGGCGGCAUCCUGGACCAAUACUGACGCUGAGGAGCGAAAGCCAGGGGAGCAAACGGG
rnacentral:rRNA from 1 species